AUUGAACGCUGGCGGCAGGCCUAACACAUGCAAGUCGAGCGAGCGGCGGACGGGUGAGUAAUGUAUGGGGAACUGCCCGAUGGAGGGGGAUAACUACUGGAAACGGUAGCUAAUACCGCAUACUAUCGGAUGUGCCCAGAUGGGAUUAGCUAGUAGGUGGGGUAAAGGCUCACCUAGGCGACGAUCCCUAGCUGGUCUGAGAGGAUGAUCAGCCACACUGGGACUGAGACACGGUCCAGACUCCUACGGGAGGCAGCAGUGGGGAAUAUUGCACAAUGGGCGCAAGCCUGAUGCAGCCAUGCCGCGUGUAUGAAGAAGGCCUUCGGGUUGUAAAGCACUUUCAGCGGGGAGGCGUUACUCGCAGAAGAAGCACCGGCUAACUCCGUGCCAGCAGCCGCGGUAAUUC
rnacentral:rRNA from 1 species